GGGGGCCACGGCCGAAUGAAUGACAGAGGGUAGGGGGGGGGUUUGCGUCGGAGAACUGGCUCCCGCCUCUGGUUCCCUCUGCCCGUGGCGCGCUCCUCUUCCUUCCUGGAGGCAAAAUAAAUCACAAUCAGUGUUGACUACAGCGGGGACACGGAGGCACGGUGGAUCGGUCUCCACGGGCUCGCUCACCUCUUCACCGACUGCAGCCUCUUAGUACGUAUGGUUCUCCUUCCCAGCUCGUUCCUUUAACACUCACACUUGUUCUCUCUAUUCCUUCGCAGGUGACAGCUGGGACACAAAAGGCACAGUGAAUCGACUUUCAAGGGUUCUCUCACCUCGUCGCUGACUACAGCUUCUGGAUAGGGUGGCGGACUUACGCUGGCUGGCUACGCAAUACGUCGACCGGACGGUGGUUUCAAUGGGACGCCGGGGACCAAGACCCUCUCGGCGGGCUCGUUGGCUUACAGAGGGGCGAGAACGUCACGCCGGCACACCGGGUCGAGCGCUGCCCUUUCCUCGAGACCCGUUGGUCAAUCGAAAACUGGACCGGGGCGCCCUUUCGUCGAGACCUCGGGGCAGCGGAUCUCUUUCGCCUCUAACUCUGUGACGAUGGAAAAGACACAGGGCCGCUUUCCUCUUCGUCGUCCCGGGACGAGUGACUGGAGGCGGGGUUACGUCUGACAAGACACAGCAAUACCACUGCAAUACACAGC